rnacentral:rRNA from 1 species
AGCGAACGCUGGCGGCAGGCCUAACACAUGCAAGUCGAACGAACCCUUCGGAGUUAGUGGCGGACGGGUGAGUAACACGUGGGAACGUGCCUUUUGGUUCGGAAUAACUCAGGGAAACUUGUGCUAAUACCGAAUGUGCCCUUCGGGGGAAAGAUUUAUCGCCAUUAGAGCGGCCCGCGUCUGAUUAGCUAGUUGGUGAGGUAACGGCUCACCAAGGCGACGAUCAGUAGCUGGUCUGAGAGGAUGACCAGCCACACUGGGACUGAGACACGGCCCAGACUCCUACGGGAAGCAGCAGUGGGGAAUCUUGCGCAAUGGGCGAAAGCCUGACGCAGCCAUGCCGCGUGAAUGAUGAAGGUCUUAGGAUUGUAAAAUUCUUUCACCGGGGACGAUAAUGACGGUACCCGGAGAAGAAGCCCCGGCUAACUUCGUG